UACGGAGGAUCCAAGCGUUAUCCGGAAUCAUUGGGUUUAAAGGGUCCGUAGGCGGUUUAAUAAGUCAGUGGUGAAAGCCCAUCGCUCAACGGUGGAACGGCCAUUGAUACUGUUAGACUUGAAUUAUUAGGAAGUAACUAGAAUAUGUAGUGUAGCGGUGAAAUGCUUAGAGAUUACAUGGAAUACCAAUUGCGAAGGCAGGUUGCUACUAAUGGAUUGACGCUGAUGGACGAAAGCGUGGGUAGCGAACAGG
rnacentral:rRNA from 1 species